GUGCUCGCUUAGGCAGCACAUAUACUAAAAUUGGAACAAUACAGAGAAGAUUAGCAUGGCUCCUGUGUAAAGAUGAUAUGCAAAUUCAUGAAGCAUUCCAUAAUUUU
ensembl:snRNA U6 U6 spliceosomal RNA